AUGUUAAUAUUUGAAAUUAUUUAGCUCUAAAAAACUCUAAGGAAUACUAAAAUAUACAGCUGAAUUAUUCGUUUAAGUUCGAAAAGUAUGAAAACUUAAUUAUAAACAGUCAAACACAAAUUUUAAAACUAACCAAAUUCAAGUAAUAUUGAAGCCUUUUGAUAUUUCUAAAUACUGUACUAAUGUACCAGGUGAUUCAUUUAAGUGGGUACACUCAUUAUCUCGAAAAGUGUUUACUUUUUCCGGAAUUUGUUUCCUAGAACAUUUAAGAAACAAGCUGCACCAUAAUUUUAUAUUUAUUUUGUUUUUUUGUCACCGUUAUUUUUGGGGGUGAAACCACUACCAAUUUUUGAUUUUAAAAUUGCAACC